AGAGUUUGAUCAUGGCUCAGAAUCAACGCUGGCGGCGUGCCUCAGACAUGCAAGUCGAACGAUUAAAGCUCUCUUCGGAGAGUGUAUAGAGUGGCGCACGGGUGAGUAACACGUAAGUAAUCUACCCUCGAGUGGGGAAUAACAACCGGAAACGGUUGCUAAUACCGCAUAAUGCAGCGGCACCGCAAGGUGACAGUUGUUAAAGAUUUAUCGCUUGAGGAGGAGCUUGCGGCAGAUUAGCUAGUUGGUAGGGUAACGGCUUACCAAGGCUACGAUCUGUAACCGGUCUAAGAGGACGGUCGGUCACACUGACACUGAAUAACGGGUCAGACUCCUACGGGAGGCAGCAGUCGGGAAUUUUGGGCAAUGGGCGAAAGCCUGACCCAGCAACGCCGCGUGAAGGAUGAAGUAUUUCGGUAUGUAAACUUCGAAAGAAUAGGAAGAAUUAAUGACGGCACUAUUUAUAAGGUCCGGCUAACUACGUG
rnacentral:rRNA from 1 species